rnacentral:rRNA from 1 species
UACGUAGGGUGCAAGCGUUGUCCGGAAUUAUUGGGCGUAAAGAGCUCGUAGGCGGUUUGUCGCGUCUGCUGUGAAAUCCCAGGGCUUAACCCUGGGCCUGCAGUGGGUACGGGCAAACUAGAGUGCGGUAGGGGAGAUCGGAAUUCCUGGUGUAGCGGUGAAAUGCGCAGAUAUCAGGAGGAACACCGGUGGCGAAGGCGGAUCUCUGGGCCGAUACUGACGCUGAGGAGCGAAAGCGUGGGGAGCAAACAGG